GACGAACGCUGGCGGCGUGCUUAACACAUGCAAGUCGAGCGGAAAGGCCACUUCGGUGGUACUCGAGCGGCGAACGGGUGAGUAACACGUGUGUAAUCUGCCCCUGGCUUUGGGAUAGCCACCGGAAACGGUGAUUAAUACCGGAUACGACCACUUCUCGCAUGGGAUGGUGGUGGAAAGUUUUUUCGGCCAGGGAUGUGCUCGCGGCCUAUCAGCUUGAUGGUGAGGUAAUGGCUCACCGUGGGUUCGACGGGUAGCCGGCCUGAGAGGGUGACCGGUCACACUGGGACUGAGACACGGCCCAGACUCCUACGGGAGGCAGCAGUGGGGAAUAUUGGACAAUGGGCGGAAGCCUGAUCCAGCAACGCCGCGUGAGGGAUGACGGCCUUCGGGUUGUAAACCUCUUUCAGCAGGGACGAAGCGCAAGUGACGGUACCUGCAGAAGAAGCACCGGCCAACUACGUGCCAGCCGCCGCCGUAA
rnacentral:rRNA from 1 species